AUCCCAACGGGAAGGAAGAGGCGCUCAGAGCUAGCGGAGUUGCCCACUCCCAGGGACAUCUGCAGGGGACCCAGCUCAGCAGGCCUCCCGGAGGACUUCUGAUGGGCCAGUCCACCUUACGAUCAGGCUGCAGCCAUCCCAGGGCAGUGCCAGCCACAACCAUCUCCCUCCCGGCAGCUGUGUUCAGGCCUAGCUGAUUGGGAGGGCCCAUUGGCAGCACAGGGCUGCCGGGGGGCGUGGCUGUAGAGCCUAAAAGGCCCCGCCCUGCAGGCCUGCUCCAGCUCUCUCUGUUGCCUGGGGCAGGCUCUCAGGAGCAGCUCCGAGAGUGUGGAGGGAAGAGAAACGAGUUAAGGAAGGAGACAGGGCUCAGGUCAUGAAAGGGAAGUCUCCAGAACAGGGAGAGAGUCCACAGUGGUGUGUCACAAGCACCAAUCCUUGGACCAUUGGGGAAACGGCUUUGCCUGUGAGGAAUAUGUAAGUGAGAAACAACGUUCAGAACCUUCCCUGCUCACCUGAAUGCAUUCAGUGACCGCUCGUUCAGUUCGUCACCCAUCGUUCUUUCAUCUCACAAUCCUCAUUGGGCAGUCCCCCGGCCAGGUGGUGUGCUUGUCACGGUGGACUCAGGACAUGCAGGUCUCUGAAGGUGCUGCAACAUGAAUCCAGGAGAAAACAAAAGAAACAGCCCGGGCCUAAGCAUGUGGACUCAUCCGACCGCAGAGAUGCCAGCAGUUCUGUCAGCUUCCUGAACCCGUGGAUGGUGUCGCUGUUUGUGUUCUGCUUUUUCCAAAUCAUUGGAAAACGCCUGGUCGAGUUCUGAAAGAAAACCAUGUCAGCUCCUCUCCAUUUGCACAAAACUGGAUAUCCUGGAAAUUAUAAUGCAUAUUAAAACUGUGGCAGAUACCUUGUUUUUCUUUGUGCCAAAGAGCCUGCAGUCACGCCAGUGGUGGAGCACUCACUGAAAUCGUUUGAUCGCGUUUCACUACACCAUUGCAUCUGUAAUGGAAACUGUGAAAGGAAAC
rnacentral:lncRNA from 1 species